GAUGAAGAUUUUUACCGGCAUAGGAGGAUGUUCUUGAACUGAAUUAUUCAACGGGACAAUGAGCUUGAAGUCAUCGUCGAUAGGAUAAUCUGAAAGUAUCUGUAGGAGCUACGAUCAUCCCGUCAAGCUGCAACCAAACAAAAGAACUCACAUCUUUUAGUUUCAAGAGUAAGGACCCGAGAAAGAUAUCGGGCCAACGAGGAAUAUGUAUUCAGCCGGUACGAUCAUCGUUGAUGCCUCGAC